ACGCGGGCAAUGCAGCUAAACAAACUUGCAAGCAAAUGAAUUGCGACACUCAAGACAAAAAUCGCAGUUGUUCUUGUUGUGUCACUAAAUCUGGGAAGCCCCUCUGGUGUCACAAGAGCAAAGAUGAAUGUACGCUUAGGUGUACCAAACCACUUAACUCGAGAACUUAAAUAAGGAAUUCUAAAAAACUAAAUAAAGUUUUAUUUAAUGCCUAAUAUGUACCUUUUUGAGAAAACCUAAUAUCUUCUGCCAUUUCCCAUUAUAUGGAUAACACUGACUUAUUUGGAGUCCAACAAGUUUAUGCCUAUUUUUGUGUUUAAAGACUUUCAUAACCUACGUAAUAUACAAUAGUUUAAUUUAUCUUCUUUUUCAUAUUUUUUUUGCCAUUGAUUCUUAAAUCUUUCUUCUGAUUAAAAGUAAUAACUAAAAAUAAGUUUUUUAACUUCAUAGUUUGUUAUGGUAAAUGAUAUGUUUUUUUCUAUUUUCUUCUGCACCAUAUCGCUACUACAUGAGCGUCUCAGAGCAUCUCCAACCCCACUCCAUAAUUUACUGCAAAUUAGAGUGGGAAAUGGAGUGAUGAACAAACAAAAAACCUUUUUUUUUUUUUGCAUUCUCAAGUCUAUUGUCAUUGUUAGUGGCACUAACUUAGUGCAAGUCUUCUCUACAAGCAGAAUAGAAACAGAUGAAUACAAGUCAACAAGCCAGCCCAUAAUGUCGGAUAAUGUUUUGGCUAACUUAAACUGAAUUAAUCUCCUUAUAUAUUAUUGGGAAAUUUGCCAAAACAGAACAAAAAAAUGGCAUGGUUGACCAUUCGGUAUAAUACCAUCAUUAAGUUGUCCCUUUAGUAUAAUUUUUUUCAUAAUACCAAAACUAACCUUUGAUUAAUCAAAUUAAAUAUAUUAAACCCAAUUUAAAAGCUUAAUUGAACUUUAAAAAGUUUAAUAAAAAGUAAAACAAUCUUUUAAUUUAAAAUUUUUAUUUUUUUUAAAAAAAUUUAAUAAAGCUAAAACGUUCACAAACAUUUUAAAUUUUUUAUAAAAACAAAAACAUGUAAAACGUUUUUUUAAUGUUUUAUUAAAAACUUUCUUAUAAAGUUAUAUUUUUAUUUUUAUAAAGUUAUUUUUUUAUUUUUAUAAAGUUUAUUUUUAUUAAAGUUUAUUAAAAACGUUUUACAAAGUUUUAUUUUUAUUUUUCUACAAACGUUUUCAAAACGUUAAAAUUAAAAAGUUUUUUUUUAUUAAAAGGUUUAACAAAAAGGAAAGAAUGUUUUUUUUAAAAAAGUUUAAAAAUAAGGAAAAAUAUUUUUGACAAGGUAAAUUGACCUAUACACAUUUUAAGGAAGUUAUAAUAUUUUAGAAUAUUUUCUUAACAGAAAUUUUCUUAAUUUUCGCAAAAAAAAACAUGUUUUCUUAUCCGUAGAAGACACCUUCUAUACUGUGUAGAACAAUGACAAAAGUUCAGAAUGCAAUUUCUACCUCAUGUAGACGUACGAGAGUGUUUAGAUUUCGCAUUUCAAGAAUUUUAGAAUAUUUCAUAAAAAUAGAAACUGCAUUAUGGAGAAAAGUAGACAUCUUUACAAUUAAUAGAAUUCGCAUUCUCCAUAUUUAGAAUUUUAAUUAAAAGUAGAGUUUUUGUUCUAAAAAAAAUAGAUGAACUUGUAUAAUCUAGAAUUUGUUUUCUACUAACUCAUUUUCUGUAGAAGACAAAAUCUACUUUUAGUAGAACAUAAUUUAAAUUUUUUAUUUAUUAAGUUUUUCAACUAAACAAAAAUACGAUUUUGUGUAUAUGAGUGUUUUAUUAAUUUUCUAUAUUUUUAAUAAUUUUUUUGAUUCAUGAAACUAUUUAUUUCAUUAAGUUUCAGAAAUGGAAAGGGUAAAAGGAAGACAAAAUGGACAAAAAUGUUUUGGCAAUUUUUCCUAUAUUAUUUGAGAAUCAUUAAAAAAGAUGUAACAUUUAAUUUUGUAUUAAUUACAUUUUUACCAAACUGAGUUGUAUUGUAUUACACUCUUUUUAGUUAGGUGACAUCACUAUAAUCUACCCCCUACCCAAACUAUCCGAAACCCAAAUCAAACCAAACCGAUACCCGAAAUGCCGAAGCCUAAUUUUUAUUAACAACUUAACAAAGAAAAAGAGUUAAAACACAAAAAAUAAUUACCACACAAUAUUUAGAAAAAGUCAAACAAUCUAAACCAAUUAUUAUGGAUCGGCAUGAAAAACUUACACUUCUAUCUAUAAAUUAAUCUCCACCUUGAAUAGAAAUUUCAACCAUCAAACUAGUAAACAUAAAAUUCAAAAAAAAACAAAUAAGUAACGUGCUCGUAUCAUAAGAAUAUCACAAAGAACAAUAUGUCGUCAUCACAACUUGCUAUUUUUUGUAUCAUCAUGAUUGCUUUAUUUCCUCUUCAUGAAUGUAUGUGUUUAUACUUGUUUCCAUUUGUUCAUCAUCUAUCUUUGCCAGCAUUGCAAACACAUCAUAAUAUCUUUGAUAAUUAUUUUUUUCUGCCAAAUGAUAUUGUUGUUACUUUUUGUUUGUAUAGUCGUUCAUGGCCAAGGUCUUAACGCGGGCAAUGCAGCUAAACAAACUUGCAAGCAAAUGAAUUGCGAUACUCAAGACAAAAAUCGCAGUUGUUCUUGUUGUGUCACUAAAUCUGGGAAGCCCCUCUGGUGUCACAAGAGCAAAGACGAAUGUACGCUUAGGUGUACCAAACCACUUAACUCGAGAACUUAAAUAAGGCUUAAUGCAAGUCUUCUCUACAAGCAGAAUAUAAAAAGAUUAAUACAUGUCAACAAGCCAGCCCAUAAUGUCGGAUAUUGUUUUGGCUAACUUAAACUGAAUUAAUCUGCUUAUAUAUUAUUUGAGAAUCAUUAAAAAAGAUGUAAUAUUUAAUUUUGAAUUAAUUACAUUUUUACCAAACUGAGUUGUAUUGUAUUACACUCCUGUUUUUAGUUAGGUGACAUCACUAUAAUCAUUCUCAAUAAAAAUUAGACUCACAUUUUAUUCUCUAAAUUAAUUACAUGGACCCACAUGUGUUGUUAUGUUAUAUUAUUUUGUUAUUUUUAUGCUAUGUUAUUUCAUUAAUUUUAAAUGAAGAUGAAUCAAACGGUCAUAUACCAACGCUUGCACAUACACACACAAACUAUUAGCUUCCACUCACUUGCUCCCAUCGCCUGUACAUACAAACACUAACAAACUUAUUACACCAAUAUAUACAUACACAUAGGCCCGAGCAAAAAAAAAACCGGAACCGAAGAACCGAACUAAAAUACCUGAAAUCGGAAUCAGAACGAAAACCUCAAAUAUCCAAAUGGUCCUAUAUUUCUAUUAGAAAUAACCGAAUCGAGAAACGAACGGGUACCAUAAUAUCUUAAAAUAUUAAUUAUAUAUAUAUAUAUAUACAUAUAACAUAAUUAAAUAUAUAUUGGUAAUUUGAAAAUCUAUUAAAAGUAUCCAAAAAUAUUUGAAGAAAACUUAAUUCUUAUUAAGUAUCCGAACUAUCUGAAAGUAUCCGGAUAUUUUUUUCCAAAAUAUCCAAAGUAAUUCGAAAUAUUCAAGAUUUUUACCCGAAUCAUCCUAAUUAUUCAAUAUUUUACCCAAAAUACCCUAUAUUUUACCAGACAUACCCGAACCACCCGAAAUAACCUAACCAAAACCAAAUGAAGACCGAUUUUUUUCUCUGUAUUUUUCUGGUUCCUAGUUUUACUAUCCGAACAGAACAGACCCCAAAAAUAUCCGAACCAAACCCAAACCGAGAAUAGGUCAAGUAUUAAAAGGAUCCUCUAGCCCCCUAGCCAAACUAUCCGAAACCCAAAUCAAACCAAACCGAUACCAGAAAUGCCGAAGCCUAAUUUUUAUUAACAACUUAACAGAGAAAAAGAGUUAAAACACAAAAAAUAAUUACCACACAAUAUUUAGAAAAAGUCAAACAAUCUAAACCAAUUAUUAUGGAUCGGCAUGAAAAACUUACACUUCUAUCUAUAAAUUAAUCUCCACCUUGAAUAGAAAUUUCAACCAUCAAACUAGUAAACAUAAAAUUCAAAAAAAAACAAUAAGUAACGUGCUCGUAUCAUAAGAAUAUCACAAAGAACAAUAUGUCGUCAUCACAACUUGCUAUUUUUUGUAUCAUCUUGAUUGCUUUAUUUCCUCUUCAUGAAUGUAUGUGUUUAAACUUGUUUCCAUUUGUUCGUCAUCUAUCUUUACCAGCAUUGCAAUCACAUCAUAAUAUCUUUGAUAAUUAUUUUUUUCUGCCAAAUGAUAUUGUUGUUACUUUUUGUUUAUAUAGUUGUUCAUGGCCAAGGUCUUAACGCGGGCAAUGCAGCUAAACAAACUUGCAAGCAAAUGAAUUGCGACACUCAAGACAAAAAUCGCAGUUGUUCUUGUUGUGUCACUAAAUCUGGGAAGCCCCUCUGGUGUCACAAGAGCAAAGAUGAAUGUACGCUUAGGUGUACCAAACCACUUAACUCGAGAACUUAAAUAAGGAAUUCUAAAAAACUAAAUAAAGUUUUAUUUAAUGCCUAAUAUGUACCUUUUUUUGAGAAAACCUAAUAUCUUCUGCCAUUUCCCAUUAUAUGAAUAACACUGACUUAUUUGGAGUCCAACAAGUUUAUGCCUAUUUUUGUGUUUAAAGACUUUCAUAACCUACGUAAUAUACAAUAGUUUAAUCUAU
rnacentral:lncRNA from 1 species